GACUUUUAUCAAACUCUUUUCACCCUGAAGAACACUUUGUUUAGUAUCCUUUCUUGUUUUGUUCAAGUUUCUUCAUGAUUGUACCAAAAAGAAACCUUUAUAACACGAUGUAAAUGGCCUCUCUGUUUGGAGAUCUCUCCCGUGCAUGUGUGGGCUCUCUCCAGGUACUCUGGAUUCCUCCCACAGUCCAGACAUGCUCGUUAGGUCAAUUGGUGACUCUACAUUGCCAGUAGUUUCCAUCUGUCUUCAUGGAUAAAGACAGUGACUGAAGACUGCAGCACAUGUGAAGGUGGUAAAAAUAAAAGCAAACUGUCUGCUGCUCCAGAUCUCCUCUACUAUAAUACUUCAAAUGAAACCUGGUAUGUGAUCCUGUGGUCCCAGCCUGACUCACACAGACCCUGUGUCAGGAGAACUGGUAGAUGUCUAGGCUCUGUGCAACAUGCAACAAGCUGCAGUCCAUACUGAGCAGUAAGCUGGAUGUGAAGUAUAUUUUUUUCAAAUAGAUAUACUGGACAAACUCCAGUCAGGUUGAUGGACUGAAACUCCCCCUGAUCUUAUAAGACAGCAGACAGGACGGGUAAAAGGAAGAGAUGACACCUCUUUAAAACAACAUGUUCAGAAGGUGUUUGGUUCUUUUCAUCAGUCUGCUCAGGCUCAAUCUAAGAUCACUAAAUGGUAUUACAUUUUAAUCAAGGCAUAUCAUGCAACUGAAACUCUUUUCUUUGUGUUUCUGUUUCAUGUAGAUCUUCUCUGUGAGGUCAGCUGGUGGGGGGGGGGGGGGGGGGGGGGGGGGGGUGGCAGACAAGGUUACAGACAGUUUGUUUGUCAGAUAAGAGAAGCACAUUUGAGAAGUUCAGAAAAACACAGCAAGUGUUCCUUUGAAUCUAUCUGCUCAGGGAAUGUAGACAUGUUGUGUUUUUGCAUCAGUUCUGGACCUGUUGAUGAACGUGAGACAAGUAAGAGCUGACUCAAAGAACAGGAGACACAACAUGAUAAUUCUUUUACCAGAGAAUAUUUAACCAACAUUGAAAAAAUUAAUUAAAAAGAUUAAUAAUAGUGUAUUGAAAUGUAGGCAUUGUAAUAUUAAUAGUAUUGAAUUUCUUUUGUGGCUUCAUUGUGGUCAAAGUUAAGUGCAGUGACAAAAAGCAGAAGUGUUCAGUGAGGAGGUUUUUGUCACGGUGUAAAUCACUGUGAUACGUUCUCACUGACAGAGCCGUCCCAUGUCUGACAGUAAUAAACUGCUGAGUCUCUCUCCUCCACAGUGCUGAUGAUCAAACGAUAAUCUGAUUGUGACUGAUGAGUGGAUGUGAACUUUGGAGAGGAGAAACCAGAGCCAUAGCUUGGAGAGCUCCAGGUGUGAUA